rnacentral:rRNA from 1 species
CCUACGGGUGGCAGCAGUCGAGAAUCAUUCACAAUGGGGGAAACCCUGAUGGUGCGACGCCGCGUGGGGGAAUGAAGGUCUUCGGAUUGUAAACCCCUGUCAUGUGGGAGCAAAUUAAAAAGAUCGUACCACAAGAGGAAGAGACGGCUAACUCUGUGCCAGCAGCCGCGGUAAUACAGAGGUCUCAAGCGUUGUUCGGAAUCACUGGGCGUAAAGCGUGCGUAGGCUGUUUCGUAAGUCGUGUGUGAAAGGCGCGGGCUCAACCCGCGGACGGCACAUGAUACUGCGAGACUAGAGUAAGGGAGGGGGAACCGGAAUUCUCGGUGUAGCAGGGAAAUGCGUAGAGUUCGAGAGGAACACUCGGGGCGAAGGCGGGUUCCUGGACAUUAACCGACGCUGAGGCACGAAGGCCAGGGGAGCGAAAGGGAUUAGAUACCCCAGUAGUC